rnacentral:rRNA from 1 species
GUAGGNNNCAAGCGUUAAUCGGAAUUACUGGGCGUAAAGCGUGCGCAGGCGGUUCGCUAAGACAGAUGUGAAAUCCCCGGGCUUAACCUGGGAACUGCAUUUGUGACUGGCGGGCUAGAGUAUGGCAGAGGGGGGUAGAAUUCCACGUGUAGCAGUGAAAUGCGUAGAGAUGUGGAGGAAUACCGAUGGCGAAGGCAGCCCCCUGGGCCAAUACUGACGCUCAUGCACGAAAGCGUGGGGAGCAAACAGGAUUAGAUACCCUGGUAGUCCACGCCCUAAACGAUGUCAACUAGUUGUUGGGGAUUCAUUUCCUUAGUAACGUAGCUAACGCGUGAAGUUGACCGCCUGGGGAGUACGGUCGCAAGAUUA